CGUGCAAUUCAGGAUUGAAGAAGGUUACGGGUGAAGUGGAUCCUCGUGCGGCAGCUCAAGCUCCAUCAUUAGGUGUCCUUUGCAGUGGGGACUGCUGAUUACUGCUGACCAUGAAACUACUCAUUCAAGCACUCGCAACACCAUCACCACCGUCUUUAGUUCACUCGUCGGUCUUCAUGCAAGAAGAGAUGCUUCGUCUUCAAUCUUCUUCACCACCAUAUCUCAAAAUGGCAAAGUCGAGAUGCUGUUUAAAUAUGAGAUCUGAGUAUUAUUGCCUAGAAACUCUUCAAAUAGCAUUCUCGACUUCUUUGUUUUGGGCUUUAAACAUCAAAUCUGUUAUAUGUGCAUUGAUUGAAUCUGUUACGACUUGGGUGUAUUGGGAUUUGCGAUUUGGUUGUAUUGAAUUUGAGAUUUAGGUAUAUACUAUAUAUAUUGUAUGCGGAUUGAAUCUAUUGUGAUUUGCGAUGAUUUGUGUUUAUAUUUGUAUUGAAUCUAUGUGAAUUAUAGAAUGUGUUUGGGGAUUUACAAUUUGAGGCAACAAAUUAUGUAUUUGUAAUUUAGGGUCUAUUUGGAUUCUAGUGAGGGAGGGGUAAAUAAAGAUAACGAGGGAUAAUUAA